rnacentral:rRNA from 1 species
UACAGAGACUGCAAGCGUUAUUCGGAUUCACUGGGCGUAAAGGGUGCGCAGGCGGCCAAGUGUGUGAGGCGUGAAAGCCCGGGGCUUAACCCCGGAAUUGCACCUCAAACUACAUGGCUAGAGCAUUGGAGAGGGUAGCAGAAUUCACGGUGUAGCAGUGAAAUGCGUAGAUAUCGUGAGGAAUACCAGAGGCGAAGGCGGCUACCUGGACAAUUGCUGACGCUCAGGCACGAAAGCGUGGGGAGCAAACGGG